CAGCCGCCACGGUAAUACGAAGGGUGCAAGCGUUACUCGGAAUUACUGGGCGUAAAGCGUACGUAGGUGGUGGUUUAAGUCCGUUGUGAAAGCCCUGGGCUCAACCUGGGAAUUGCAGUGGAUACUGGGUCACUAGAGUGUGGUAGAGGAUAGUGGAAUUCCCGGUGUAGCAGUGAAAUGCGUAGAGAUCGGAAGGAACAUCUGUAGCGAAGGCGACUAUCUGGGCCAGCACUGACACUGAGGCACGAAAGCGUGGGGAGCAAACAGGAUUAGAUACCCGCGUAGUCCUUGUCUCUUAUAC
rnacentral:rRNA from 1 species